AUGCGUGUCAUGUGGCCCCCGGCCCACACCACUGCUGCGCCUGUCCUCGGGGAGGGGAGCGUCCUCCCACCGGGGCCGGGGAGGGGUGAGAGUAAGGGCGCGGGGGUUGCUGCUGGCCAGGGGGGACUGACACCCCCCCCACCCUGUCCCACCGAGGCUGGUCUUCUCCUUUCGAGUAGAGCGUGGUCCGUCCAGGGCGCGCCUGCCCUGCUGCCCUCGGUGUCCCGACCUCCAGGAUGCAGUGGGCAGGACUCGGAUGUCCCUCCCUGGGACCGAGAACGGGUGCGUGGUGUUCUGUUCAAUGUGGCCAGCAGCACCCCACUCUCCCCGCCCGCCCGAGCCAACAGGGUCCUUUCAGAGUGUAGGUCAGACCGCCAAGCCCUCCAGCGGCCCCAGCGCACUCAGAACAGGCCAAAGUCCCCACAUGCCCUCCUAACCCUUUGCUACCGGGUCCCUGCUGCCCUUCUGACCUCAUUCUUUCCUCCCUCCCUUGGUUCCAGCCACGCCGGCCUCCUGACUGUGCCCGGAAACAGGCUGGGCAGGCACACACAUGCUCAAGCCUUCCCGCGAGCUGUUCCCCUGCCUGGAAGCUCUCACAUCAAAGGGAAUCGCCUGGUACUUGGGGCUUUUUUCCCCCUGAUGUUGGCAGCCCCAGCAGCUAGAGGACUCCCAGCUCCCACAGGCUCUUGGUUGCUUGUUGAACGAAUGCUAGAAUGUCAGUUAGGAGACCUGCUGUUUGGAGAGGGGGCACCCCACUGGGGGCCCUCGCUGUCCCUGGGCCUCGGAUCAGGGCCCUGCUCUUGCAGGGCAGCCGUCCGGUUCCCGGGGCCACUUGGCCUGCAGGUUCGGGGAGCCAGUGUAGCUGGGAGGUUCAGUCGCCGUCCCCCGAAGCCGGAGCAGCCCCCGGCCAAUGACCAGAAAGUCCAGCUCCCCUGCUUCGCCUCAAGCCAGACACUGCAUUCAGGGUCUGCUUCUGGGGACCCCGACAUAAGACAGGGGCCCUCUCUGCACGACCUAAGACAGGGGCCCUCUCUGCACCCCUCGUAA
rnacentral:lncRNA from 1 species